rnacentral:ncRNA from 1 species
CCCGUACGACAGGGGAGCGCUGAGCAGCGCUGAGAGUGCGGGUAGCCGCAGACCCUCCGACCUGAUCCGGUUCGCACCGGCGUAGGGAGUCACGAAGAUGACCCG